rnacentral:rRNA from 1 species
GAUGAACGCUGGCGGCGUGCCUAAUACAUGCAAGUCGAGCGAACAGACGAGGAGCUUGCUCCUCUGACGUUAGCGGCGGACGGGUGAGUAACACGUGGAUAACCUACCUAUAAGACUGGGAUAACUUCGGGAAACCGGAGCUAAUACCGGAUAAUAUAUUGAACCGCAUGGUUCAAUAGUGAAAGACGGUUUUGCUGUCACUUAUAGAUGGAUCCGCGCCGCAUUAGCUAGUUGGUAAGGUAACGGCUUACCAAGGCAACGAUGCGUAGCCGACCUGAGAGGGGGAUCGGCCACACUGGAACUGAGACACGGUCCUGACUCCUACGGGAGGCAGCAGUAGGGAAUCUGCCGCAAUGGGCGAAAGCCUGACGGAGCAACGCCGCGUGAGUGAUGAAGGUCUUCGGAUCGUAAAACUCUGUUAUUAGGGAAGAACAAAUGUGUAAGUAACUAUGCACGUCUUGACGGUACCUAAUCAGAAAGCCACGGCUAACUACGUG